rnacentral:ncRNA from 2 species
CAUAGAGAUGGCAAUGGAGCUUGCCAAAACCGCCCUUUGUUUUUAAGUUUUUCAUAAUCUUUAAGAGGCUGAUAGCUCCUACUCUUCC